AAACAGAUUCAUAUUAGAGUAGUACAGAUAUGGAUAUAUAAUCCUACCCCCAUCCGCAACACACCAAUUUCGACCAUCUCAGCACACUAUAUGGGGUAUGAAACACUCAUCCAAUCCUACACACCACUUAGUGUCAGUCUGACACUUUACAGAAUACUUGCAGCUAAGCUGCCAUAUAAAUAGACGAAUUAUCUCCUUUUACAGAAACACUUCCUCCACAUAGCAUAACAUAAUAGAUACAUAACAUACAUAACAUUUUUCGGUUUACUCAUAACCUAUUACAUAAUUUACUUAUCAUAUGACGUCUCAGAUAUACGAACAGAUAUCAGAAUUCAUACAAACAGAUUAUCGGAUUUCAUAUUUUACAGUCUAUUUGAGCACAUACCGUCUCCACGGAAUCCCCACUGUCUUUCAAAAUGACGUGUAUGGCUUUAGGGAAAAAUUUAGAAUUUUGGGCCGAUACGGCCUGGCACACGUCCGUGGGAUCCACAUAUCCUAAAAAGCCCAGACUAUGUGACUCACAUGGUUUAGCACACAGCCUUGUGGCAUCGACAGACUACUUUUUCAGUUUUUGCCGAUCACUAUUUUUCGUGUUUUGCGUUACACACCUGAUAAUUCUUGAAACGAAAUCAACCACGAGAUGUCAAGAACCUAAAUUCAGUAAUUAAACAAUUAAUUUAUCAAUUCUUAAUAUCGUUACACCAACUUCCAAAACCUCAUUCAAAUCAAUAAGAAACACUAAAUUUAUCACGCCUAAAUUAAAUAUUCUAACAUUCAAACACUUAUCGUUGAACAAUCAGCAACCGCUCGUUGUUUAUGUUGUUGGAAGAACAACUCUCACCUCUUAUUCUCCUUCUAACGAAACACAACACACACAUUAAUUUCUAAAUACCUCCUUCACAAAAGGGAUAAUUAAACAAACCUGAAUAGCAUAAAAACCAUAUGAAACUUAUUCUCUUGCCCAAACCACGAAUACACACGAGCCCAAAAUCGUGAGGAAAGAAUCGAAAAUAACAAAAUAUGGCAACACCUUUAUAGCAAGUAGAAUAAAGAAGAACAAAAAUUGAACUAACCUUUGCUUGGGAUGAAAC
rnacentral:lncRNA from 1 species